GGCACAAACCACUUCCUUUGAGAGUAUAGGACGUUUCAAAGAACUUGGUGACAAGAAGGUAAAGCUGUACAGAAGUGCCUGAAUUACUGACGCAAAAAUGGCACUCAUUGGUGCAUUGCUGAUCUUAUGGUCAGUUCCUUCAAUAUGUAUCGAAAAGAGAUUUGGUGUUACUGUUCGAUUUUCAUCUUCGAAGCAAAUAAUGGAAAUAGAGCUUCAAAGUGAAAAUCAGGACUUAAUAGAAACUUUGAAAACACUUCAUUUUAAGCUUCCAUGUGGAAUCCAGAGGGAAACAACUGUAAGCAACUACAACAAAAUCUCAUUCAUUUUCUCAACCUGGCUGGCAAAGGAUGAUGCAAGAGUGCUGUCACUUAAAUACAUUCUCCUUUAUAUGUCACAAGCUUUAGACUUUUCCACCAGAAGACAGAAGAUCAUGAGAAAAAUAAUGACCAAUUUAUCUAGACUGUGCCCUGUACACAAAAGAAGUAAAAGAUACUGAACAGACAGAAUGGUACUGGUCUAUUUAGCAAGUUUCAAAAGAAACACAAUCAACCAGUGGUAUUUAUUGAGCACUUCGUGUGUACAGAGCACUGUACUAAGCACUUGGGCAAGCAAAAUUCCACCUGGUUGGUAGAUGUGAUCCUUUCUCACAAGGAGCUUCCAGGAUGUACCACAAUUUGCUACUGCUGAAAAUGAGAAACUUCCACAGAAAUGGAUCUCUAAACCAUCUGUUUUUUUAAGGAUGUUCAUUAUUCUGAAAAUAAAGGGACUCUAAAAAAUGAG